rnacentral:rRNA from 1 species
UACGAAGGGUGCAAGCGUUACUCGGAAUUACUGGGCGUAAAGCGUGCGUAGGUGGUUUGUUAAGUCUGUUGUGAAAGCCCCGGGCUCAACCUGGGAAUGGCAAUGGAUACUGGCAAGCUAGAGUGCGGUAGAGGGUAGUGGAAUUCCCGGUGUAGCGGUGAAAUGCGUAGAGAUCGGGAGGAACACCGGGUGGUGUAAACGGCUUUCUGGACCAUAACUGACGCUGAGGCACGAAAGCGUGGGUAGCAAACAGG